AGAGUUUGAUCCUGGCUUAGGACGAACGCUGGCGGCGUGGAUUAGGCAUGCAAGUCGAACGGUAUAAACCUUUCGGGGUUUAGAGAGUGGCGAACGGGUGAGUAACACGUAGGUAAUCUACCCUCAAAACGGGGACAACCCAGGGAAACUUGGGCUAAUACCGGAUGCGUGCAAGCAAUGUUUUGGCUGUUAAUGCUAUUCACGGAAGUGAGUAGUGUUAAUGGUUGAGAGCAUUAUUUGCACAAAAGGUGGCAUAUGCUGCCGUUUGAGGAUGAGCCUGCGUCCUAUUAGUUAGUUGGUGAGGUAAUGGCUUACCAAGGCGAUGAUAGGUAGGCGGCCUUAACGGGUGGUCGCCCACACUGGGAUUGAGAGACGGCCCAGACUCCUACGGGAGGCAGCAGUCGAGAAUAGUCUACAAUGGACGGAAGUCUGAUAGUGCGACGCCGCGUGAACGAAGAAUCCCUUCGGGGUGUAAAGUUCAUUUAUACGUGAGCAGUGCCCUUUAUAUGAAUAGUAUAGAGGGAGGGAUUUAAGCGUAUGAAUAAGCAACGGCUAACUCCGUGCCAGCAGCCGCGGUAACACGGGGGUUGCAAGCGUUGUCCGGAAUUACUAGGCGUAAAGUGCAGGUAGGCGGAUAGAUAAGUUUAAGGUUAAAGGCUACGGCUUACCCGUAGUAAGGCGUUAGAUACUGUUUAUCUGGAAUGCGGUUGAGGGAGACAGAAUUCCUGGUGUAGCGGUGGAAUGCGCAGAGAUCAGGAGGAAUACCGAAGGCGAAGGCAGUCUUCUAAGCCGAUAUUGACGCUAAACUGCGAAGGUGUGGGGAUCAAACAGGAUUAGAUACCCUGGUAGUCCACACAGUAAACGAUAAUCACUAGGUGUUGGGUUCGUAUAGGACUCGGUGCCGGAGCUAACGCGAUAAGUGAUUCGCCUGGGGAGUACGAUCGCAAGGUUGAAACUCAAAUGAAUUGACGG
rnacentral:rRNA from 1 species